GGCACUAUAGUGUAGUGGCUAUCACUUGGGAUUCUGAUAUAGUGUUCCCAAAACCCAGGUUCGAUCCCUGGUAGUGCCU
rnacentral:tRNA from 2 species